UUACACACGGAGCCGGUAUCAGGCACAACCAUCUUAGCCAAUAACGCCUUGCUCUGCCACCCCCCCACGGGUUUACAGCAGUAAUUAAUAUUAAACAUGAGCGAAAGCUUGAUUUAGUUAUAGUAGACAAAGGGCCGGUAAAUUUCGUGCCAGCCACCGCGGUUAUACGAAAGGCUCAAAAUAACGGCUCCCGGCGUAAAGCGUGGUUAGAAUAUAUAAAAAUUAAGGACAACCCCCUCUCUGCUGUAAAACGCUCAAGAAGGCAAGAAUACCUACCCACCCCUUAAAAUCAUUUAACACCACGAANNNNNNNNNNNAAACUGGGAUUAGAUACCCCACUAUGCCCAGCCCUAAACUUAGAUAGCAAAAUACACCCUAUCCGCCAGAGAACUACAAGCAAUAUACUUAAAACUCAAAGGACUUGGCGGCAUUCCAUAUCAACCUAGAGGAGCCCGUCCAAUAAUCGAUAAUACGCGCUCAACCCAACCAUUUUUGGCCACUCCAGCCUAUAUACCGCCGUCGCCAGCUAACCUUGUGAAAGAAAAGUAGUAAGCACAACAGCCCUCGCUAAUACGUCAGGUCAAGGUGUAGCUAAUAAAAUGGAUGAGAUAGGCUACAUUUUCUAUUAUAGAAAACACGAAAGAUACAAUGAAACCUUGUAACAGAAGGUGAAUUUAGAAGUAAAAUAAGAAAUGACCCUUAUUUUAAUAUUGCCCUGGAAUGAGCACACACCGCCCGUCACCCUCCUCAAAAAACAAGAUGAGG
rnacentral:rRNA from 1 species